GUCCCGCGGGGGGCGCUAAGAUGGCGGCGGGGUCACCUGUGCCUGAGGGGCACCUGGCACCGGUUUGGGCUUGCAAAGCCCUCGCUGCCACCGGGACUCGGGACACUGAUGAGCCUCCCACCACGCGCAGAAUCCCAGAACGGACAGAGCUGGAAGGGACUGCAUCUGGUCCAGUCUCCCUGCUGCAACAGGGGGAUCCCAGGGCACAGGAUUGUGUCCAGACAGCCCUGGAAUGUCCCCUGUGAGGGAGGCUCCACGCCCUCUCGGGUGUCUGUCCAGGGCUCGCUCACUGCACGGGGAAGUUCUUCCUCAUGUUCAGGUGGGACUUGCGGGCAUCGGUUCCUGCUCGUUCCCCUGGUGCCAUGGCUGGCCCCUGGAGCAGAGCCUGCUCUGUCUCUGAGCCCUCCCUGCAGACGGGGACAGACAGGGAUCAUGUCCCCUGUCCUGGGUUGGCUAUAUGAUGCUUUUAUCCCCAAUCGUCUUGUUCUGUUUAUACCGAAUAAUAAGUUUUACACCUUUAAGACUCUCCCAGACAGUGAAGAGGGGAGGGAAGAAGCGCGCAGUUUGUUUUCAGACUGCUCUCACUCCUCCACAUUCCUGCUCCUGGACUGUGUUGUCUGUGGAUGGACAGACAGCCGGACAGAGCUCCUUUUCCCCUUUUUUUUUUUUUGCUUUUAGUUAGUCUUAGCUAGCUGAGGCAAAGAAGUUCCCUGGACUGUGAUUUUUCCUUUUUUCUUGGACCUGUUCAAGCCUGCUCUGGACUGAACACCCAGAAGAGCACCGGCAGCUCCACCUGUGGCCCCCCUGGCCGGGCCUGGGCCGCGGCGUUUCCAGCACCAGAGACUGAUCAGAGACUGAGUGAGCCGAGCUGCAACCUGGGGAGGGGACUGUUCUGAGUUUGGGAUUUUUUGGGGUUUUUUUGGAGCAGUGAGAAGUUUUAUUGUUUAAUAUUGUUUGGGUUCUAUUGUUUAAUAAACAGGUUUCUUUCCACUUUUUCUCCAAGGAGAUAUUUUCUCCCGAACCGGUUGGAGGGGGCAGGGGCAAUUGAAUCUGCUUUUGUAGAGAAGCUCCUUUGGGGGUUAUCUCCCAAACUUGCCCUAAACCAGGACAUCCCCCCUGGGGGGCUCCAGCCCCUGCUCCUUCAGCCUUCCCUGGGCAGGGAGAUGCUCCAGUCCCGCUGCCGGGAGGAGCUCCAGGUCUCUCCUGAACCGAGGAGCCACAAGGUGUGUGUGCACACCUGGAUACUCGCCUCGGGUACAGUACAAUACCCGCAUCGUGCUGCUCCUGAGGAGCCGAACCCGAGCCUUCACAGGUCUGAAACGACCACAAACACAUCAUUAAUAUGGUUUUAAUUAACAACCCUUUGUUUCCUGCCAUGCCCGCAUCGCAGUAACCCCGCGGUUUGCUGCGGUGGGCUGCGUUUAACACAGCUCUCAGCUACUGGAGAGUUCUGUGUUUGGAAGUUGUAACCCGGAAAAUUCAAAUGCUGGAGGAGGAACCAUCCGCUUCGUGGCACUGCAAAAAUGGGGACGACGCUUGGAGAGGAAAAAUAAGUGUUUGGAAAGGGAAACUGCUGAGUAGCAGGAGCCGGGGUCAGCAGCAGAGAGCCGUGCCCUUCCAGCAGCCUGAAAAUGCAGGGUCCCCUCUGGCGUUACACAAAUAUAUCAGUAAUUUUGUAUAAAAAGGCGAUUUUAAGACAGGAAUAAAUGGAUUAAGCACCACAGAAAGAGCACAGAGCUGUUCCCCACAGCAGUGAUCAGUGAGUGGCUCUGGGCAUCCCAGACUGGAGCAGUUGGGGAAAAGUCACCCCAUUUCUGCACAGACUGACAAAGGUUACAGCAAAGGUCACAAAUAUGGACCAUCCAGCCUAAUCCUUCAGUCAUUUAUUUGCUCAAGAUAAUAAAAGACCAGCAUGGAGGUUAUUGAGUGCUGCCAAAGUGAUGGUUUGAAAAAGAUCCAAUUAAACAGAACCACAGGAGCUCAGAUCUGUGGAGUGCACAGAGCCCAGUGCAAUGCAGACCUCGGGCUUUGCUGAUUUUUCUUACUCCACUUUUUCUCCUAUGGCAGUGGAAUUUCAGGGCAUCAGCAAUUCUGCCUUCUAUCAGGAUAUAGUCCAAUUAUGUGACUGAAACACAAGUUUUAGGGAGAAAGUGAGUUUAGGAGUGUCAUCAUUUCAACCAAAAAUAUUUUUUUUUCUUACUGCAUACCUGAAUGUGCUGAAACCAGACUUGUUUGCUCUUUGGAGCAUCUGGACUGGCACCUUUGCUCAUUCCCACUCUUGUGGGUGCCCAUACAGAAUUUGGGAAGCUUUGCUACAGCCUGGGCUUAAUCUCAGGAGCUCAAGUAACAACAGGAGUGAUAACACAGCCUUGGGCCCUUGAGGAACCUGAGUGCCUGCCCUGGGUUUGCUGCUCCUCUGCAGGUGUUACCUGAGCCAGCAUGUGCCUCCAUUGUGUCUCCAUUGCCCAGAGGUAGAACACCUCCUGUGGAAGCUGGAUGGAACUGCUGGAGUUGUGUUUCAUGGUUGAAAUUAAUACAGCCAGCUGACACAUUUAGAACACUGCAUAGAGAAGAUGGCUGGGGUGACACUUGCAUGACAAAUCACUGUGGAUACAUCUACAGCAGGAACAGCAGUUCUUGUUUGCCUCUGCCAAGGACAGAUGACAGCAAAGGGUAUUUAGUGAUUGUGCU